rnacentral:ncRNA from 1 species
UUUCCCUCAGGAUAGCUGGCGCUCUUGCUCUUCCCGAUACACGCAGUUUUAUCCAGUAAAGCGAAUGAUUAGAGAGGUCUUGGGGCCGAAACGAUCUCAACCUAUUCUCAAACUUUAAAUGGGUAAGAAGCCGGCUCGCUGGCCCAUCUCUCCAGCCCA